CCGUACCAACAACACUAUCCGCCCUCCCUCCUUUCUUUUGCCCACAUUUACUUGGCCUCGUUAUGUUUUUAGUGUACAUACAUAUGCGAGCAACCUCAUUUCUUCUUCCUCUUCCUUAAAAAUGCUAUCUUUCUUCCUCUUCACCCUUUGCUUUAUAAUUUAGGACAGCAAGACCCCGUCCGAGGGAAGCAGAUGAAAACAGCAAUCAAAACGCUUGUGGUGGUGAGGGGGCGAAAGCUCUCUUCAAGACCGGUGGAAUAUGGUGACUACUGUUGUAAAUCCAUCUACAAAGAAAUUUGAAGCAAGGUUGAGCUUUUCCAUGAAAAUUUAUGUGAAGCAAAUGGGUCCCGGAUGCUCAUAUGAAGAAGCAUGGGGCAACUAUAAAAGGGAUAUCAUUUUCCUCAAACUCCAAUCUUUGCAGCGAGCUCUCUUCUUAUUCAGCCUCCGCUGAUGGGAGAUGGUGGAUGUGAUGGCGGUGGUGGUGAUAUUGGCGGGAUCGGCUCAAUCUCUUACAUUGUUCAUUUAUGAAUACACUAAAAAAAAUUUUGUUGCCUUAUUUUGCUACUUAGUGCUUACAUUGUUGCUCCAUAAUGUUGGUAAAAGGAAUGGGUAUGUUGCUGCUCUCUUUUCUGAUCAUUUCCA